rnacentral:rRNA from 1 species
AUGGCGGCGGCGAGUAGCAGCGCGCGGGACACCGCGGAGGGGUGGCGAGAUGGGGGAAGCGUCGACGACGGGGGAGCGGAGGUCGAACUGAGCCUGCGGCUUCGGACCGGGAGCAGCAGCGGCGGCGCGGCAAGGAGGAGCAUGACCAUAUUCUACGAUGGCCGGUCCCUGCAACCCGGUCGCGCUCCACGCCGCCUUCGACGACGCGGACGCCGUGCACCUCGUCGUCGACCUCUGCGCCGGCGGGGACCUCCUCUCGCUCCUCUCCGCCCGUGGCGGCCGCCUCCCCGAGCGCGAGGCGGCGGGGCUGGCCGCGCAGCGUCCGCGCUCGCCGCGUGCCACCGCCGCGGGAUCGCGCACCGCAACGUCAAGCCCGACAACUUCGACGCCGCCACCGGCGCGCUCAAGCUCGCCGACUUCGUUUCCGCGGAGUGGUUCGGGGACGGGCGGCCGAUGACCGGGCUCGUCGGCACGCCGUACUACGUGGCGCCCGAGGUGGUGGCCGGGAGGGAGUACGGCGAGAAGGUGGACGUGUGGAGCGCAAGGGUGAUGCUCCGCAAAGGAGCUCAGCGGCGACAGCGAGACGGCCGUCCUCCGCCGCUUGGGCACCGGUGGCCAGUCGCGGUACAGGGGAGACCCGUCGGUCUCCUCGUCGUCCUGGCGGUCCUCCCGCUCGAGCUUGGGCGCGAGGCGGUGCGGGACCGAGGGGGCCUGGCGGAGGAGCUUGGCGAGGCGGCGGAGGGAGCCGGAGAGCGGCGGCGGCGGCGAGGGCCUGGGGCGCACGUGGAUGAGCUGGACGGAAAAUCCGGUACGGCAAGGGAAAUCAUAACCAUGGCGAGCCAACAAAUUCUAACCGAGCAGCAGGACAGCAGCGGCGGCGGCACUGCAGUGGCACAGUGCGGAGCGCAUCAGAAUCCAAGCCAGCCGGCGCCGCAACGUUGGGCUCCAUUGUUGGCUUCACGCCCGCUUCGUCAGGGAGCAGGGGCUGCUGCGCCGGUCACCAGCCAAGCGGCCGCCGCGGGGCUGUCGAUGAAGCGGUCGUUGCAGCAGUUUCUGCAGAAGCGGAAGACAAGGGUCGCCGCCAUGGGUUCGCCGUACGCCGGCGGCCGGCGAGCGAUGCCCUUCUAG